rnacentral:pre_miRNA from 1 species
UGGGGCAAAUUCAAACCUGCAAAACAACAGGACUCAAGCAUUUCGCCAAACACCUCAUGUUUUCCCUUUGAAAAUAAUAAAUUUUUGUGAGGCUUGCUUUAGAUGAUGGUAUUCAAGUGCCACCGAAUUGAGGUUCAAUCCUUGACACUUAAUACCUUCAUCUAAACCAGCAUAAAAAAAAUUUAAUAUUUUCAAAGGAGAAACAUGAGGUGCUUGCGAAAUGCUUGAGUCCUGUUGUUUGACAAGUUUGAAUUACCU